rnacentral:rRNA from 1 species
AGUGAACGCUGGCGGUAGGCCUAACACAUGCAAGUCGAACGGCAGCACAGUAAGAGCUUGCUCUUACGGGUGGCGAGUGGCGGACGGGUGAGGAAUACAUCGGAAUCUACUUUUUCGUGGGGGAUAACGUAGGGAAACUUACGCUAAUACCGCAUACGACCUACGGGUGAAAGCAGGGGAUCUUCGGACCUUGCGCGAUUGAAUGAGCCGAUGUCGGAUUAGCUAGUUGGCGGGGUAAAGGCCCACCAAGGCGACGAUCCGUAGCUGGUCUGAGAGGAUGUUCAGCCACACUGGAACGAGGACCCGUUCCAAAGACCAAGGGAAGGCGGAAGUGGGAAAUAUUGGACAUUGGGCGCAAGCCGAUUCCAGCAAUACCGCGUGGUUGAAGAAGGCCUUCGGGUUGAAAAGCCCUUUUGUUGGGAAAGAAAGGCGGCAGUUUAAUACCCCGCUGUUCUGACGGAACCCAAGAAUAAGCACCGGCUAACUUCGUG